rnacentral:rRNA from 1 species
AUUGAACGCUGGCGGCAGGCUUAACACAUGCAAGUCGAACGGAGUGGGGACGGGUGAGUAACACGUGGGUAACCUCCCAUCAGAGGGGAUAACACUUGGAAACAGGUGCUAAACCGAUACUGAUGGAUGGACCCGCGGUGCAUUAGCUAGUUGGUGAGGUAACGGCUCACCAAGGCCACGAUGCAUAGCCGACCUGAGAGGGUGAUCGGCCACACUGGGACUGAGACACGGCCCAGACUCCUACGGGAGGCAGCAGUGGGGAAUAUUGGACAAUGGGCGAAAGCCUGAUCCAGCCAUGCCGCGUGCGUGAAGAAGGUCUUCGGAUUGUAAAGCACUUUAAGUUGGGAGGCGUUACCAACAGAAUAAGCACCGGCUAACUUCGUGCCAGCAGCCGCGGUAAUUC